GUUACAGGGUUUGUUUGAUGAAAUUCAGUGUAUACCUUUGUGACCUCUGGGUUUAUGUAACACCAGUGUUUCCCCUGCAUUCAUUCAGCAGCAGCACACCGUUCAAGCUUAUACACAGUCUCUAUAGCGAGUGGUAUUAGUAGCAAUAGUAGCAUUAAUAUCAAUGCGCCGGUAAUGAUUUCCACUCGCACACUGUGCACAACACACAAUGUUAUUUUUGACUGGUUUUGAGUCAUCAACGAGCGCAUCUAUUCCUGUCGGACCCUCUUCCAUUAAUGUGAAGGGUAACAUCUCUGAUAAAAUAUCUAUUAACCACAGAGUCCCCAAUGCUGCAGCGUGAGGCUAAAGUAUGAACUUGAUGAAAUAUUCUUUUUGUUUUUUUUUGCAGUGUCCAUCUGCACCAUGAUACUCACUUUUCAUGCAUCUCCCUUUACACUUCAGAUCAUGGCACGACAGCUGGUGGAUGCUCUCAUCGAGAUCCACUCCAGAGGAGUUUUCCACCUUAAGAUGGCCAACACUCGGGUUCGCCCGAAGAUGCUGGAUUAGGCUCCAGUCCCCCCGCGACCCCGGGAAUGGGAAUAAGUGGUAGAAAAUGGAUGGAUGGAUGGUAGGGGAAGGUCCCGCCCUCCUUUGCCUCUGAUUGGCUAGAAGUGCUGGGCUCUGAUUGGUUUUUCCUUAUUGCUGUGAAACGUCAUUGUCUGUCAGGUUAGGGUUAGGGUUAGGGUUAGUAUUGGGGUUGUGGUAGGGGUUAGGAGAUUUAGAAGUGCAAUAAUGUUCUGUAAUGUUCUGUUCAAUGUACAGAGCUGACAGCCCGCGUUUGGCUUUAACGUGUGAUGACAUUUCCAGCUUUUCUAGCCAAUUAGAGGCGAAGGAGGCGGGACCUUUCCCUACCAUCUGACAAAAAAAUAUUGCGUUUGGGACGGUGAGUCCAACUAAGACAGAAUCUCAAGAUAGAUUUUGUUCAGGUGUCUUAACCUGCCCAAAAAGAGCUCCUGAAAAUGCUCAAAAACCUUGUGUUUAACUGUUGCAUUGCAUUGAAUAGUUGCAGCCCAGGGUACAUCCUCUAGUCUUCCACUUAUCCUUAAAUAAACUCGACGGAGUACCAAAAGGAAGCUCAGGUCUGGUGUUUAGGGUUUAAAUUAGGCUCAGGUGCACAACUGAAUUGAGGCCAUGAUGGAGACAUUAAGCUGAUUUUCUAAGACUAUCACAGGCUUGCAGUUCUCUCUUGAAAACACAUGUGGUGACAACAGGUGGGUAGGCAAGGGAAGCUUUUAAACAUACAUGAACCUCAGCAAUCUUUUCCCCGCUGGCCCUGGUAUCGACACUGUGCAUCCAUUACUGCUAGUGUUCUUGACAAAUGAAAGUCAUUAAUGAGCAGCAAAGAGAGCACCUGGUAUUGAUGGUUACAAUCAUCUUCUGGAAAGCCAAACUGAAGAGGGCAGCUGGCAGGAAGCCCUGGAGGAUAGACAACUGGCUGUCAAAUGGGCAUGAAUUAAACAUGAAAUCACUGAUGGGCUGGACUCUUUAAAAUGUGCUGAAUGAAGUCAAAUGUAGAAACGUGAGUCAGCAGACUAAACUUUAGUCAUUCUUGUUGCUCUUUCUCCUUCUUUUAAUCCAACCAUUAAAAAAAACACAUUCUGGUGGUGUGCAAACUUAAAUAGUCAUAAAGAGACUUUUGGGUUCAUCAUACAGAUUAUACUAAACUUCAUCCUGCUUCACUUAAGGCCCACUAUCUUUACUUUGAGACUCUAUUUGUUGCCAACUUUGGUCAAACACAGCACUCAGUUAUCCAGUGGUCUGAGAUAAAGGACGCCCACACAUGACUUACGUUGCCAUUGGUUGUGAUAUGUAAUCAGUCAAGUAUAGAGCAUCUUUUUUAAGCCAGCAACAGUAAGCAAUAACGUUAGAGCACUGGGUAUACUCAUAAAGAGCAGCAAGGUUCCUCUAUAAACAUGCUAUUUAUCGGAAGACAAGAACGGCUAUGUAUUUUUCUUUUUUUAAUGCACUGUUAUCUACAAAGGUAGAUUUUAAAACGCUUUCCAGAUUGGGAUAUUUCUGAAAUGCCAUAGCCACCGUUGUCAACAGCAAGCCGGGGAUUCCAAUGAAAACGCUGAUGCUACUUCAUGCAUACGCAUUACACUAAGGUGACCAGACAUCCUCUUUUACGCAGACACAUCCUCUUCUCUGGGGACUGUCCGGCAUGUCCGGCCUUGUCCUGCUCUGUCUCUUUAUAAAAUCCUUCAAAUGUCCAGGGUUUUGUAUGGAAGCUUUGAGUUUGUGUCACGUGAACACAAAUUAACCACGUAUGACCUGUUACUCCGCCCCUGAGUAGUCAUGUCGUCUUCUUGGGGAUUCAGAAUAUGGUCAUCCUGUAUUACACUUCUAACAUGGGAACAUUUAAUUGCCAUGCGUGAAUCGGACAACAGUAGUAAUGGCAGACACAUUAUUAAUCAAUUAGUUAUCACGGGAAAACGAUCUCUGCUAUGUCAAGAUAAUGAAAAUAAAAUAAUUUGUUAUCAAGGGAAACCAAUCUUUGUUAUGUCGAGAUAACGACAACAAAAUAAUUCAUUACCAAGAGAAAACGAUCAUUAUGUUCAGAUAACGAGAUAAUAAGUUGUUAUCAUGAGAUAAGAGUGCAUAAAAAAGGAAAAUCCAGCAGCUUGACAACUGAGUGAGUGUACAGUAUACAGUAUGUCAACAUCUACUCUGUGCAAGAAUAUGGACAAAAAUGAUGUUUUUCAUUUCCAUCCACAUAAAAAUAAAUGACUAGAUGGCAUUUUCCGUGACCUUAAACUCAGGGGGUUAAACAGGAAAGAGAAAUCUACUUUUUCAAAACUAUCCACAUACGUGCCUGACCUGAGCAGAAGGGGUGACCAGGAGCAUCACUG
rnacentral:lncRNA from 1 species